AGACCUGUCAUCACAGAAGCCGCACGUGGCCGGGGUGGGACCUCAGGCGACCUGCGGCCAUCACUUUGUCUCCUCCGUCAUCCAUUGGGGCUGCCACCGCCAAUCAGAGCCAGCGGAUCCUGGUUGGAUCGCGACCGCCCGGGGUCCUGCUGAGCUCAGGAGCUGCACGGAAUGGUGGCAGUCACCUUGCCAGUGCAGCAGGCAUGGAUCAGACUGCAAGCUAGGGGCACAAGGCAUCAGUUGGGAAGAGGGAACGCACAGCUAGGCUCCAGGCCUCUUCAUCGGGGG
rnacentral:lncRNA from 1 species